AGAUUAGCACUUACUGAGCUGCUGUAGCUCAAAGCCUGUAAAUCCUCCCUCUGCCCACGGUACUAACUUGGAUGUUGGAGAGACUGUACUUAACGCUAUCUACUGCUGUCACCUCAGAUGACCGGAGGAAGUUGCUCAAGGUCUACUGAGAUCCACCCAGGUCAACUGCAGAACUGUUCAGCUGGUGCUUACAGCAGGAGAACAAACAAUUGUAAAUGGUUUCUCCGUGGGCUUGUGGAAACCAGGGCUAGCCCUUGGCUGCAUGGAGUGUAUUCUCUUUGUCAUUCAUUCAUUUUGAGAGGCUGCCCGCGAUCACAGUAGCCCUUGCUGCGCAGUUGGGCCAUCAUCAGCAUUUGGGAGGCUGUGGGUGUGGUAAUGAAAAGAGCAUUGCGGAAGUGCCAAGAGCUGUGAGGAAGUGCUGUAAUUCAUACAGCUCAACUUGCCCCUGAGCCUUGCUAACACAUUUGGCACAAAGGGACACUGUAGCCUCUGUUUGUAUCAGUGGCCCUUUUAGUGUGUGUUUGGAGAGUCAGCUUGCUUCAGAGUCACUCCAGCUAGGGAAACCCAGGUAUCUUCGCUGAAGAAAUUCCUUCCUUCCCACAGUCAUUUUCAAGCUCCACAGUCUGAGCACUGACUAAGCAAUAUAUGAACUUCCCUGACAACUUUGCAUAGAUGACAGAAACAGAAGAAGCAAGACAGGUCAUCUGAGUGUCUGCAUGUGCUUGUGCAUGUAUAUGAAAACCUACUUGCACAGAAAAGACCAUAAAAUUUGUGAAAUUGGACAUCUAAAGAAAAAUCAGGAAGAAAUAGAGUGGAAGAGAAUCCAACCCAACCAGCAGAACUUUGCACGAUCUGCAAUGUUUUUCAGAGUGCCAGCCCUACUUCAGAAUUUCUCUUUUCCCCCUUCCUCCUCAUCCUUUCUCCAACCUUCUCUGUUUCUCCCUGCACUAGUGGCUGAGUGCUGUGAGCACAGUAAGCUCAUUUUAAAGCUGAGUGCCACAGUGGCCUCAGCAGCAGGUAGGUGUGACUAUUGGAAAACACCUUUCCAGUCCCGCUGGCUCCAUUCCAUACUCAGCUGUACAUCUGCACAGAGCCCCAUUGGAGCUGCCUGCAGACAAGGACUGCUCCAAGUCACAGGGACAAAGGGCACUGAGACAAAGCCACAGUGCCUGUUAUGUGUGUACCUCCCUCUAGACCAGGUUGCUCACAGCCCCAUCCAGCCUGGCCCUUAACACCUCCAGGGAGGGGGCAUCGGAACCUCACUGGGCAACCUGUUUCAGUGUCUCACCACCCUCACAGUAAAGAAUGUCUUCCUAAUAUCUAGUCUAAAUCUACCCUCUUCCAGCUUAAAAUCAUUUCCCCUCAUCCUGUCACUACCUGCUCUUUUUUAAAUUUAUAUUUAUAUUUACAUUUACAUUUACAUUUAAAUGUAGGCAAAGCGGAAGAUAUUUGGUAUAGGCAACCGCAGCCCAACUGGUUAAAACUGGCAAUUUAACUGAAACAGUGCUUAAUAAUGGGGAAUGUCAGGCGGCUGUGCUACCAGUGCAGCUCACAGGAGCACAACCAUUGUCGUUACUCACAGUUUAGCUAUCAGUGGUGACUGAGACAUCUCAGUCAUUUUUGGCACUGAGUGCAUACAUCCGAUCACAUAUGCAUACUUUCAAACCUGCGAUACAAUAAAGCUCUUUAGACUUCUAUCUCAGUUCAUUUUCAAUCUCAGAUGAUACAGGAAGUCAAAAGAAACUGGCAGUGUUUUGAAAGAGGGAUGAUUUCUUUCUCCUCCUCAGUAAAAGACUCUGUCUGAUGUGGGUAAUCAUUAAAGAUCUCUUAUUCACCACCAAUGAGAGAGGAGUGGUGGCCCCAGCAUUUCCUAUCCCCCAAGCACUGCUUGGCAAUAUCCUACAAGUCUGCUGGAGUGCUGCUUUCGCAUGACACAGAAUCAAAGCAGCCCUCUGAAAAGUCUUUUCUUAUAGACCUGUGAGGCUUUGCUGCUAAUAAAAUAGAUACGUUUCUGAAUUAUAGUCCACAAAACAUUUUAGACUCCAUUUUACUCUAGCUAUCUUAUUCUUGAACUUGUUAUUAUAAGUUAAUUAGACUUUGAGAGAGUAAUGAGUGAUAGAUCUUUUAAAUGAAAUCCAGUUCCUACUAUUUUAAUUAGUUAAUGUCGCAUGUUAUUGCAUUUUAAUACAUAAUUAAUAAAACUCCUUAAAACUCAAGCUCCCAAAUCCUUAUCAACCUUUUGAUGUAGUUAGGAUCUUUUCAUCAUGGUUUGCUUUCUUAGUUGUAGUGAUCCUGAUGAUUUACACUCAGGUCUGGUGGAGCUGUAGUCCACCCUAAUCUCAAAGGUCCUUGUAGCAGCUCCCUGAUGUGAUGCUGGAGCUGGAACUGUGAUGCAAAAAGGCCUGACUUUGUUCCAUCUGCUGUAGUCUUCCAUCUUUUCAGGAGCUCCUUGUUCCUUCUUCCCUGUGGCCAUGAUUGCAGAAGUGAUGAUGCCAACAUCUCUGAAGCAUACUAUUGGAAUGGAGGGAAGCCUCUGAUCUCUCUGCAUGUCAUGAGAUCAGUUUUUUCCUGGGUAGUCAGCUUAAAGUCUCUGUGAAGCUUCAAAUUUGUUCCUGCACCAUAAUAUAUAUAUGGUGAAGGAAAUCAAUGGAAGUUCAACUGGGGAUGACUACCCAGAUAGGAGUGGAACAGAGGCUGACUACUCAGGAAAUCUUAAUCAUCUCUGAUCUUUAGGCUUUUCUGAGCAUCACUAAAGAAAAGAACUAGCAAUUUGUGUGGGCCUAAUUCAGGGUAACACACCCUGCCUACCUGUAAGUCCUUGGCUGAGUUGAGUUGCCUGCUGCAGUGCUAAGCAAAUGCUGCACUCCUGGCUAGGAGGCUAUUUCAUGAUAUCGGGAUUUCUAAGUGUGGUUUCAAAUCCUUCAGUAAAAUAAUUGAUAUUGUAAUCACACACAUGUACACAGAGAGACAUAUCACGAGUAGCAUGAUGUCAUAUUCAGCUCCUGCAAGUAGUUACUGUUACGAUGGAUUCUCAUCAUAUGGCAGACUACAAUACACUCAUUUUUUCUUACCCAAAAGUCAAGGGAAUAAAACAUGCUCUCUCUGAUUAACAAAGAAGCCAGAUGUUCAGAAUAAUUUUUGAAGCAUGAGCAAAUUCAAAAGCCAAAUUAAGGAAGAAUGUCUGGACAUUGUCUUUUCAAGCUGUAUUUUCUCUCCCUUAAGUUCCUCAUCAUGAAAAAAUAAAAAAAAAA
ensembl:lncRNA